GAAUGCAUUUACCUUCACCAAACCUGCUCAAAUCCUUGCUGAACAGGACGUAGCAGGAGUUGACUUUCCAAUGGUGGAGGUUCAGAGUACAGCCUGUAGCCACAGAGAAAAGUUGCUUGUUCCUGAAAUGCAGACACACCUCCAAUCCAGAGAGCAAGUCAUCUCGUGGAGGAAGUGGUAGCUGUAAAAAUUCAAAUGGAAAAGGCAUAGAGACGAAGUCUUGCUUUGUUGCCCAUGCUGGUCUCAAAUUCCUGGGCUCAAGUGAUCCUUCUACUUAGGGAUCCCAAAGAGCUGGGAUCACAGGCGUGAGCCACCGCACCUGACCACACAAAGAGUUUUGAACCAGGAAGGAACCUGGAGAAAUUAUGCAGCAGUGGACAAGGUGCUGUUUAUAAACCAGCCCAGCUUUGGCUCAGGACAAGCCACCCAUCUCCAGGGGCUGGCGUGUGUGCCUCUGCUGACCGCAGCUGCUGACCUGUCUCCUGUACACUCUGGAUGCUGUGAUGCCCAGACAGCAAAACUUCUUUUCAGGCUCCCCAAGAAGGCAGGGACCCCAGUUCUCUCAAGAGCUAACAUUAGAGCAAAUCAGUCUCAAGAGGGAGUCCCAGAAUCAAGAGGAAAUAUGGGCUUGCUCCUUGAUCCUGGAGUAGAGCACAUCUUCCCUGCCUGCAUGGCCAUGCUGUGAAUCUGCAGCUCAGAAGUUGGUCUCCCUAAUGCCACACUCUGGAACCAUGUCAGCCACAUGAUUGUGGCUUCCCGAGGCCACGGCGUGUGCACUCUGCCUGUUCAUGUUGUGUUUUCCUGGUGACUCCUUCCUUUGCUAUUCAGUAAUAAGGCUGAUCUGCCAUAGCAACGCCCACAGCCAAUGGCACCUGCACAGUGCGUUCCUUCUCUACUCCACAAUAUUUCCUUAAAGAAACACACACCUGGAAAUUGAAUUUCUGGAAUGAUUCCCAGAUGCUUUCCAGAGGAAGCCUGGCGACGUGGGCAAAUAGCCCUUUAUUUUCCACCACGGGAACAAAUAUUUCUGAUCUUUCUUUAGUGUUGGGGCUGCAUGCAAUAAAUACUCAGGUGACACUUUUCUGGGUGGCAGUGGUGAGUGAUGGGAAUGAGGCUAAAUAAAUACUUGUCAGUUUGUGUCAUUUCCACCAGCACUGAGAGGGUGACUGUUUCAGUAUCCAAGCGGAAAUUGUGGACUCAGGGCAAAAAGACAGAGAUGAAAAUUCAGUAGUUAUCUUCAGAGGGAAAGAAUUUUAAGCUGUGGGGAUGGAUAAAAUCUCUAUGGAAGGGAAAAAAAGAGAGACAGACAGAUGAAAGGAGAUGGGGCCUUUGAUCAUAUAAUUCAUUGCCCAAACUGGAACAACUUUGAGAGUGAAAGGAGGUCACUAUUAAUAGUGACACUGGGGCCUCAGAUGUAAACUAGGAUUGUCUUGGGCACACAGGGACUUAUGGUUGCCCUAAUGCUAGGGUCAGUCUAUUGAAGGGGCCAAUGAUGAUAGCCUGACCCUUGCCACAGCCCUGACACUUGCCACAUAACAGUAGGGAGUGGUAAUGAGGCAGUCACUCAAUAUAGCUCAGAACAUAAGACCUUCUGGUAGGGUCUUCACUGGGGGUGGGGGAUGGUGCUUCAUGAACUCCUGAAACUUGUCUUCCCUUGGCUGCCAAAGGCCUCCCUCCCUUCUCUCAUCUUCCUCUUUCCAUGGGGAUGAGGGAGGUACCGUGAGGCCGGGACACAGAUGUCCAUGUGCUCUCCAAAUGUCUUGGGGGAGGGGAGAAAACUAUAACUCUUGGAAAUUUGAUAGAAUUGUCAAAAGAAUAUAAUCAGCUACAUACAUUGUUUAACCAAAGUUGUAGUUCUAUGAUAAAAGAUAAAAAUUUUCUUUUAUGAGAAUAAAAUACCUAGGAAUCCAACUUACAAGGGAUGUGAAGGACCUCUUCAAGGAGAACUACAAACCACUGCUCAAGGAAAUAAAAGAGGAUACAAACAAAUGGAAGAACAUUCCAUGCUCAUGGGUAGAAAGAAUCAAUAUUGUGAAAAUGGCCAUACUGCUCAAGGUAAUUUAUAGAUUCAAUGCCAUCCCCAUCAAGCUACCAAUGACUUUCUUCACAGAAUUGGAAAAAACUACUUUAAAGUUCAUAUGGAACCAAAAAAGAGCCCACAUCGCCAAGUCAAUCCUAAGCCAGAAGAACAAAGCUGGAGGCAUCACACUACCUGACUUCAAACUAUACUACAAGGCUACAGUCACCAAAACAGCAUGGUACUGGUACCAAAACAGAGAUAUAGAUCAAUGGAACAGAACAGAGCCCUCAGAAAUAAUGCCGCAUAUCUACAACUAUCUGAUCUUUGACAAACCUGAGAAAAACAAGCAAUGGGGAAAGGAUUCCCUAUUUAAUAAAUGGUGCUGGGAAAACUGGCUAGCCAUAUGUAGAAAGCUGAAACUGGAUCCCUUCCUUACACCUUAUACAAAAAUCAAUUCAAGAUGGAUUAAGGACUUAAACGUUAGACCUAACAUCAUAAAAACCCUAGAAGAAAACCUAGGCAUUACCAUUCAGGACAUAGGCAUGGGCAAGGACUUCAUGUCUAAAACACCAAAAGCAAUGGCAACAAAAGCCAAAAUUGACAAAUGGGAUCUAAUUAAACUAAAGA
rnacentral:lncRNA from 1 species